CUUGUCAGUUUGCAAUAUCUCUUAAAGACAAAGUACACAGUUUAAGAAAUACAAGAUUUCAUUCUAAAACUUGUAAUAUUUGCAUUUGCCCAUAACAAGGGUGCAUGUGUGUAUAUGUCGUUGUGUAUCUAUGUGUGUGUAUGUGUCCAGGGCCGGCCUUAGGCAAAUAGGCGCCCUGUGCGAAAAGUCUUCACGGCGCCCCCCACCAAGUUGCCUGAAUACAGUUACACACACAGGCACC